rnacentral:rRNA from 1 species
UACAGAGGUCCCAAGCGUUGUUCGGAUUCAUUGGGCGUAAAGGGUGCGUAGGCGGCGCGGUAAGUCGGGUGUGAAAUUUCGAGGCUUAACUUCGAAACUGCAUUCGAUACUGCCGUGCUUGAGGACUGGAGAGGAGACUGGAAUUUACGGUGUAGCGGUGAAAUGCGUAGAUAUCGUAAGGAAGACCAGUGGCGAAGGCGGUCUCGUGGACAGUUCCUGACGCUGAGGCACGAAGGCCAGGGGAGCAAACGGG